rnacentral:lncRNA from 1 species
UGGCACAGAUUUCUGCCCAUACAAGAAGUGGAAUCCUUCACUGCGCACAUUAACGCCGUGGAUAAAAACAUCAAGUUCACCAGGGAAGACACUAAGGAUAACUGUUUGCCUUUCCUGGACUGCGCUGUGCACAUUGAAGAGAAUGGCAACCUCAACAUUGAAGUUUACCGGAAGCCCACACACACGGACCAGUACCUCCUCUUUGACUCCCAUCACCCUCUGGAACACAAACUUGGAGUAAUUAGGACCCUACACCACCGGGCAGAACUUGUUCCCUCUAAGCCUGAAGGGAAAAAGAAGGAACACACACAUGUAAAGGAAGCACUGAAAACAUGUGGUUAUCCUAACUGGGCGUUCAUAAAGUCAGCAAAGAGGCACAGAAAAGAAGAUCAGACACCAGCGAGGGAGGAUAAGAAAGACAGACGCAACAACAUUGUCAUCCCCUAUGUAGCCGGUGUAUCAGAGAAACUCAGGAGAGUUUUCUCCAAGCACGACAUCCCAGUGUACUUCAGACCCAGCAACACACUCAGACACAAACUGGUUCACCCGAAAGACAAAACUCCAAAACACAGACUGAACAACGUGGUGUAUGCUGUACAGUGCAGUGAGGAAUGCCCGGACCUCUACAUUGGAGAGACCAAACAGCCACUUCACAAGCGCAUGGCACAACAUAGAAGAGCCACCUCCACAGGACAAGACUCAGCAGUCCAUCUGCAUCUUAAGGAUAAAGGUCACUCUUUCGAGGAUGCCAAUGUUCACAUAUUGGACAGAGAGGACAGAUGGUUUGAAAGAGGAGUGAAAGAGGCCAUCUAUGUCCACUGUGAGCGACCAUCUUUGAACAGAGGCGGUGGUUUACGACACCAACUGUCUGCCAUCUAUAAUCCAGUUUUGAGUUCCCUCCCCAGACGCCUUAACGCCCACUCACAUCCUGGGCCAUCUGACCUCAGGAAAUCACAUGAUAGGGUGGGGCCAGGUUUCACAAUGAGCUCACCCGAAACCCUGGCUGAUUAG